rnacentral:misc_RNA from 1 species
AGCCAGUGUUUUUAUGUUCUG